AUGUCGAGGCUUGCGGCCGCCGCCCUCCGCGGCGCCCUCACCGCCUCUGGGGCGCGCUCGUGCUCGAUCUCAGUGGCAUUUCCCUCUGCAUCCUCUCGUCUCUUCUCAACCGACGCAUCCGGCGCCGUAGCGGGAUCACAGGACGACUCAUCGUCCGGCGAAGGCCAUACCUAUGGAAGGUUCUACACUAAUAUUUCUGGUGUCGGCCGUCUUGGCAAGAACAUGCUGAAGACUGACAUUAUCCAUUACCUUGACCAAUGUGAACUGUCACUGGAUGAUGUGAAGAUUGAUUACAACAAGGGGUUUUAUCCCAUGGGCGCAUUAUUGAAGUUUCCUUCGGUGGAAUCAUUUGAGAAAGCAGUCAGGCAAACAAUUCAGGGUCGCAUGUACAGGCUUGAGAGGGUGAGUCCUGAUGAGUGGGAACACAAGAUAUCUUUGAAUGGAAAAGCUGUACUGUUGCAAGGAGUCCCUCGAAACGCUCAAGUUGAUGACAUAGAACGUUUCUUGUGCGGCACUAACUAUGAAGCUCCUCCAUUUGAAAACUCUAUCAGAGCUGGGGUCCCCGAGCCUGUAAGAAUGGUGCUGGUAAAGUUCGGCUCGAGGACUGAUGCAACCAAUGCCUUCAUUGCUAAAAACAAGGGUUUCUGUCUGAACAAUCCUGUUACCAUGCGGGUUAUUCAGUAA
rnacentral:rRNA from 1 species